rnacentral:misc_RNA from 1 species
GAAAUGCGAUAAGUAGUGUGAAUUGCAGAAUUCAGUGAAUCAUCGAAUCUUUGAACGCACAUUGCGCCCCUUGGUAUUCCAUGGGGCUUGCCUGUUCGAGCGUCAUUUGUACCCUCAAGCUCUGCUUGGUGUUGGGUGUUUGUCCCCGUCUCCGCGCGUGGACUCGCCCCAAAGUGAUUGGCAGCCGGCGUACUGGUCCCGGAGCGCAGCACAUGUCGCGCAAACGAGUGCCUUGGUACGGCGGCGUCCAUAAGCCCCUCUCUCACGCUCUUGACCUCGGAUCAGGUAGAGAUACCCGCUGAACUUAAGC